UCAGGGGCAAGAUGAGCACCAAAGAAGUGGAUGAACAAAUGAUCAAUGUCCAGAACAAGAACUCUUCAUACUUUGUUGAAUGGAUACCCAACAAUGUUAAAUCAAGUGUUUGUGACAUUCCACCUAGGGGUCUUUCCAUGGCAUCAACCUUCAUUGGUAACUCUACCUCAAUUCAAGAGAUGUUCAGGCGGGUGAGCGAGCAGUUCACAGCUAUGUUCAGGAGGAAGGCUUUCUUGCAUUGGUACACUGGGGAAGGCAUGGACGAAAUGGAGUUCACCGAAGCUGAGAGCAACAUGAAUGACCUUGUGUCUGAAUAUCAGCAGUACCAGGAUGCAACAGCUGAUGAGGAAAUUGACUAUGAAGAUGAGGAGGAACCUGAACAAGAUAUGUAAGUCGAUCAUAAUAUAUUGCUGAGUGCUGCUCUGCCAUUCCGUUAUGGUAAAAUGUGCCUAAAUAUUUUUCUACUACUUGAGGUUGAGCCAUGGGAAUUGUUUGAUGUCUUUUCUGUGUGACGAUUAGCGGGCAAAUAGUAGUAGUUGAGUCCCCA
rnacentral:lncRNA from 1 species